CCCAGUAGACCUACACGAUGCCAGGAAUGAUGUAGCCGAUCCGGGAUGCUAAUUUGAGCAACACAUUUCAACAGGGACAACUUGAUGGGUAUGCUACUGGGGGAUAGAGGAUAGGCUACCCAUGCCUUCCGACAUUCAUCACCCUUCCGAUGCUGGAACGCAAAGGCAAAGGCAGGAGCUGGCGUUGCGUCUGGACUUUGACAUCCCGUCAGCGGAGAAGCACUUCCUGGAGAAGAGGAAGGUGGUGGUGGGUCGGGCUCUACAGAAGCUGCUGGAGCUCAGCUCUCCUCCAGACACAGAUAAGGUACUGUGUGUGUGUCAGUGUCAGCUCUCCUCCAGACACAGAUAAGGUACAGUGUGUGUGUGUAUGGUGUGUGUGUGCAUGGUGCAUUUACCACACAUACAAAUAUGACAACGCAAAAGGAGAAGUUGCUUGCAGCUCGUAUACCAAUGUAUUGAAACAUCCAUUUGAUAUUUUUUGUUAAAUAUAUUAUUACAUGACAUAACACUAUAUUAUUACUGGUUUUGAACAAUUUUGCAACAAGAGAUUUUUUGCAAGAGAUAUCUGCCCAGGCCCCCCUAGUGGGUGUGGUUUGCUCAGGGGGAGGGACCAGGGCGAUGACUGGCAUCUUUGGGAGUCUGAGGGGCCGUUUAUACGAGGACGAUUGCGAAGGAAGACAACAAAAUAUU